rnacentral:rRNA from 1 species
UGUUUCGGCUAGGGGGCCAUCCCGGCUUACCAACCCGAUGCAAACUGCGAAUACCGGAGAAUGUUAUCACGGGAGACACACGGCGGGUGCUAACGUCCGUCGUGAAGAGGGAAACAACCCAGACCGCCAGCUAAGGUCCCAAAGUCAUGGUUAAGUGGGAAACGAUGUGGGAAGGCCCAGACAGCCAGGAUGUUGGCUUAGAAGCAGCCAUCAUUUAAAGAAAGCGUAAUAGCUCACUGGUCGAGUCGGCCUGCGCGGAAGAUGUAACGGGGCUAAACCAUGCACCGAAGCUGCGGCAGCGACACUGUGUGUUGUUGGGUAGGGGAGCGUUCUGUAAGCCUGCGAAGGUGGCCUGUGAGGGUUGCUGGAGGUAUCAGAAGUGCGAAUGCUGACAUAAGUAACGAUAAAGCGGGUGAAAAGCCCGCUCGCCGGAAGACCAAGGGUUCCUGUCCAACGUUAAUCGGGGCAGGGUGAGUCGACCCCUAAGGCGAGGCCGAAAGGCGUAGUCGAUGGGAAA